ACUGCCAUCUCAGUUUUUGUUCCCUCCUGGAGCUCUGGGGAUGGUCUGUGCAAAAGGCACAGUGAUGCUUUUCUUCACACUUUUCUUCUCACCUUGGGAAUUCUGUCAGGUGCUACUUCAGAGGUGUUUCCUUCAUUGGAUUUGUGAAUUAUAUUCAACCUUUAUUUGCCCGUUCAUCAGAUCACCCUCUCUUUUGUUAUUCCUUUGAGAAGGAUCCAGCAUGAAUUGGAAUUUAUGAACUAUCAGUGUCUCCCAUGCUCACUAAAUAUGCCAGCACUCCACCAAACCUGAUGGAUGAGCAUGAGUAAUAACUUGGCAUUUUGUAGAGCUUUUCAUCAGAGCCAUUUCAAAGCCCUUCACAAUAGAAGUAUAAUUAUCUCCAUACGGCAGAGGAGGAAUGGAGGCACAAAGCUCUCAGAUCAGGAAAGCAUCCAGGUCUCCCAAGAUCUCCCUUCAGUGCCUUGUCACUGCCUUCACUGCUGACCCAAACCCGGCUCUUCGCUGUUGUUCCACCUUUCUCUCUUCAUUCCAAGGGGCUGCUGGGGAGAAGGCAGUGAGUUUGUACCUUUUCAGUGUCACAAAAUGCACAGCAUUCCUAAUACGGGUUGGUCAGAGCUCUGUAAAAAUAAUUGAGUUUCAGUUUAUAUUCAGAAUAAUAACUUAAAUGGUAGUAAGUGUGUUCAUUGAUAUCUAAUUUGGUGUGGCUAAUUUCCUCAAUGCUAGUGAACUGCCUGGGUAUUUCUUAUCGCCUUCGCAUGUUAUCUGAAUCUUGUUGCACAUUUGUCCUGUAGCCAUGUAACUAUGAGUUAAUUGCAUGGUGACUGAAUUUAUGCUCUGCUAUGGAAGGAUUUCUCCUCACACAGAUAAACGAUAGAUAAUUAUGGUGUUCCAUCUUUAAUUAAUGUAAAUUAAAGGGUUAUUUGACUGAUCUUAUGUGCAGAUUUGGGGAGCUCUCACCACUCCCAGUAUCAUCAGUGCUGCUCUGUAGAUGUCAGGGAUUUUGCAUGGGAAAAUACUGUCUCUCUGUAGCAGGGAAUGACAUGUAUGUAACAUUAAACAUUUGCCCAUUGUGGCACUUGUGUUUCAUCAUGCCUUGGAGAGGAACAUGCCGGUGUGCUGUGACCUAUUUACAGCAAAUGCAAGUCAAUAUCUAUUAACUUCUCCCUGUUCUUUCAGUCGAUACUUUGUCCUUAAAGCAGUUGCUUUCCUUCGCCAGCUGCACAGUUCACGAUCACAGAGGAACUUUUCUCACCUCCUUCCCCCAGCACUUUUUCCCAUUAAUAUGGUCAAGCGGUGUUCAUUUAAAACACACCUGAGACAUGAAAGAUAAGUGCAGGAUGGAGACAGCCACCCGGCACUGUGGCUUUCUCAGCUCUCCUUUGCUGGAUGAACGCUGAUUUUCACACAUUUAUUUCUUCCCAGUGCCUUGGGCAGGGGCAGGGCAGGAGGAUGCUUUGCUGGAGCACAGCUGAAGGUGCAGCAUGGAGCACUAACUGCCCCCCCCUCCUGCUGUUGCUGGAGAAAUGCCUCCAAGAGUUAACAAAAUUAAUUAAAAACUGUCUCAUAUAAUUAAAACUCCCAUUUGACCCACAUCAUCUCAUGUGCUGUGGAGAAGGAGACAGUGCUUGCUGGCAGCCACCCGCUGCUGCAUCCUGCUGUCCUCUGGCACUGUGCAAGUUGGACACGAAGGUGCCUCUGUUCCACGGGGCUUUGUGCUGAGCUGGGCUUUGUUGCUUUGUUUUCAGUGAAAGCAUUUCUAUCUUCGAUGUGCAAAUGGAGUUGCUGCUGUCGGGGUUCAGCCCACAGGAGUGUCGUGCAGCUGCAAAGAAGAGGAUGGACUCAAAGUGUCACUGCACAGUGCGACUGCUGAGACUGUGGGGUGAAAGCGUGCUGGAUUGGGGAUGCUGGGAGAAAGCACAAGCAAUCCUUCAAGAUGAGGUAGGAGGGAUGGCAGUAACAGAAGAGCACAGCUGAAUCUCAAGAUUUCAAGCAAGGAUAGCAGGAGUCUGAGCAUUUAAAUAUGCCUUUGCCAUGCUGGAGCAUUCCAAGCAGUGUGUGCUUCAAGUUUGCAAAAUGAGCCUGGCACACAGACAACGGCAAACAUAGCAUUUUAAUGACACUUAGAGCAUCUCAGAGGACCAUUCAAAGCAAGAAAAAAGUGGUGAUGUCCUUAAUGACAGCAGAUGGUUUCUUCAAGGUGAAUAAUUUUAUUGUUUAUUGCCCGCUUUGUGUAGUGCAAGAAAUGACAUUUAAGAAACUGCUCAAAGAUGUUGUUUCAAUGCACAAAGAAAACAUUUAGGAACCAAAUUAUCUAUACCAGUGACUGUGUCAUCACCAGAGCUUUAAGUCUGGCUUGGAGGCACGUAAUGUACUGGCAGUGGGACUAUCAGAUGGUGGGCUUUCAGAAAACUGAACGUAGGAGUCAGGCGUGUGCUUGGGAAAUGUGUCCCCUACAGUGUUUUGCAAUAAACACCCUUAAAAUCAGGAAAGAAAUGGGAAAAAAACAAACAAACAUACAUAUGUAGCUGAGUUUUAGUAGUUAAGCAGCAGUAGAAUGUGCCCAGUUUUAGCAGCUUGGUCUGUCAGUCACUUUGGUAUCACUUGCUGUGCUGCUGCCAUGCUGGUAUUUUAAACUUGGUUGCAUGCAGCUUUGCUAAAGAAGCGUGUUAGAAGGUCUGCUUUACUGUAUUUUGCUGCUGGCAACAAAAGCCAAGGGUUGGGUGACACUCAGCACUGGAAUGCUGGUGAAAAUACAGCCUGUAAGGAAAGAAGUAUGUUAUAAGAGUAGGCGAUCUUAUGAAGCUUUUAUUAUGUCCCUUUUUCAUUCUGGGAGAAAAUGAAAUACCGUUCAAAAGCUUUCCUUUUCCAAGAUCCAGGUCUGGAAGAAAAAUAUUGUAUAAUGCAAUAGCACUUGAAAAGUGUUCUUAAAUCUCUUGUAAGCUUGGGUUCAACAUUUCAUCUGGAGCAAAGAUUUUAGUGCGUUCAUAUUUGGGGAAGUCUUUCAGCUCAUUUUCCUGGUUGUUUCUUUCUUCUUUUUCCUCUUCAUAUUCACACACUCCUCCAAUUCCUGCCUCAGCAGACAUCUGUCACUUCUGCAGGGAUCACACUGAAAAGAAAUUUAAAAGUGUGACUUUUCCCGCAGGUAAAAUACAUAUUGCUCACUAAUGCAAACUGGUUUGAGACUGUGCUUCGCCUGUGCUCUGCCCAAAGCUAUCUGCCACCCAUGACUUUGGCCAUUUU